UACGUAGGGCGCAAGCGUUGUCCGGAAUUAUUGGGCGUAAAGAGCUCGUAGGCGGCUUGUCACGUCUGCUGUGAAAUCCCGGGGCUCAACCCCGGGCGUGCAGUGGAUACGGGCUGGCUAGAGGCAGGCAGGGGAGAACGGAAUUCCUGGUGUAGCGGUGAAAUGCGCAGAUAUCAGGAGGAACACCGGUGGCGAAGGCGGUUCUCUGGGCAUGUCCUGACGCUGAGGGGCGAAAGUGUGGGGAGCGAACAGG
rnacentral:rRNA from 1 species